UUCACUCGGUUACAUCAGAACGUGUUUUUUUUCCCUUUACUAUUAUUAUAUUUCUUCUUUUAGCUGUACCGAAGAUGUGAACGUGUCAAACAAAACAGCGAAACAAAACAAAAACGAAAAAGAUGGGGAAUCGAAAAGAAAACGGACCGAUGAUAAAUGGGCCCUACAAGUCCGUCAAGUCGGAAGAUACAUUGCGCAACAGUCGUAACGUGCGACACAACCAACUACUAGCGGCGGUGGCGGCAAGCAACACAACACAAGAAUUUUAUUUUAUUUUUUUUCAAAGGAUUUCCAUCUUUUUAUUUUCUUCUCCUCUCUUUUCAAAAUAUAACGCUCAUUCGCCUUCGGGAGAACGCGGUAAAAUGGAGGGAAAACAAAAAAAAAGGGACCCUUGACCGGACCAAGCGGCGAAGAGUCAUCAACCGAAAAGAAAUCCUUUUUCUUAUAUUUUUAAAUAAGCAAGGCGCGCCGGUGCUCUUUUCGUUGUGUAGGGGCCAUCAUCAAUAGGACCAGGGCAAAAAAAAAAACCAAAAAAAGCAACGGUCAUUAUCAUAUUUUGAUAGAUUGAACUUUCGGCCAAGAACAAGCAAAAAAAAAACAACAAAAUCUUAACGAAAAAUAGUCGAUAGUUUCUGAUUUCUUUUUUAAAAUUAAACAAAUUAAGCGGGGAACUCCUGGCUAUGCCAUUGGGUUCUUGUUCCCCCCCCUCCACUGACUUCGUUAGAUUCCUGUUGAAUUACGUCAACCGACUACUCAAAUUCAAUCGAAAUUGAAACGAUCCUCGCGUGAUUUCCAAUUAUCGGUGUUACAUCAUUUCAGAGUCACCACUCCCUGCUGAUAAGAGCGUCUCAAGUCGGGGUUUGGUGAAACAACUUGACGCCCCACACAAAAUAGGAGAGAUAGGGAAGGGGGGAUGACCGUCACGACAUAAGAGGUGAAGGUAUUUGAAAUUCCGAUAAGACGUGUAAAAAAAAAAGAGAAUGGCGAACGUGCAACGGGCAUUGUAAUAUAAAACAGAGAGAAAAACAAAUGUCAACUUACCGUUACGUAAAAAUAAAUUUGAAAAGAACAAUUCAAGAAAAAAAGAAGUGAACGCGAUCAACAAAAUCCAGCGCUAUAAAAAACGUGCGCGCGCACGGACCGUCUCUCGAUGGCAGUUGGUUAUAAUCCUCUGAUUCGGUUUGGACAAGUUGGCAAACAACUUGUUUUGUGUUGCUUCUUCUAGCCUUUUCGUGUGUGUGUGUGAGAUAGAUAAACUGAUUGGGCAAAAAUAGCAAAUUAACGGGGUCAACUAUGCACUCGAAUUCCUUGCCGAUCCAUCCUGUUCAAAGUCUGACUCGUCGCAAGUAGAUCACUCGUUUUCAAAAGAAAAUCGCACUUUCAAAUCGCACACUGCCACUGGACUAAUCUUCAAUUAUGUUUCGUUUUUUUGUUGGACAAUCUGGCCAAUAACACUGAACCCCCACCAACAAAACAAAAAUGUAAGAAAUACCCAAACUUUAACCGUACGGGGGUCACAUACACACGCAAAUUCCUUGGCACAAAAAUAAUAAUAAUAAUAAUAAAAUAAAAAAUCUUCUAUUUCAUGUCGUUUCGUUUGGCAAAAAGCGAACACAGACGACAGGACACUGUAGAACGGAUUUAUAAAUUUUCAACACACACACACACAAAAAAGAAUGGACGGUGUGUGUAGGGGAGACUGCGAGGUCUCUUCUCUUCAGCGUGUCCUCCGCACAUGUGACUGGGAGCUCUGGCGAGUCUUGUAAGAGAGUGUACAGUGUUUGGGCACAAAGUUUGAAGAAGUGAGCCUCCUUCUCUUUCUGUUUCUCCUUCUCCCGGCCGCCGAUGGGGCGUAGUAGAAGAAGGAGGAGAAAUGGGAAAAGAAGAAGAAGAAGAAAAAAAGAGAAAAAAAAAAGAAAAAAGUGGGAGGAGUUGUUGGUGAAGAACUGGAAGACCCUCGCGCCACCACCAGCAAAAGAGAAAUAAAGUUUUUUUUUUUUUUUUUUUUUGCUAUUUACUGCUGGACUCUUGUAUGUAUGUGUGCAACACGGACGCGCUAGUAAGACGGGCAUACAACGGAAGAAAAGAAAAUAAAAUUUUAAUUCAUAUUUUUUUUUUCCAGCUACAAAGAAUGGCACAUCAAAAAGGAAUGCCUCAAGAAAGAGAGACGUUCUACCUGGUCUUUGAAGAGGGGGGGAGUAUAAGGUCAGAUAGGAGGAGGGCACCAGCAAAGUACUGGCCAAAAAGAGAAAAAAAAAAUUGCUGAUGGCAUCCAGGUGAACUGCUAGUCCCCCUGUCUAUAAGAGGAUCCAACAAAGUUGACCGCAUAGAAUUUGUCAUUCAACAGCCGACGACGAUGUAAAAGGAGAAGUGUCCAGGAAUCAAUUUGUUAUGAAUAUUUUAUAGACGGCUAGUGGUUGGUCGUACAAUACUCGGAAACAGAGAGGAGGGGAGACGAGAAUUCGAAACUGGUAUUCUUGCAUCAAGUUGAUUAAACGACCAAUUACUUUGAAACUGUUUCAUGGUUUUUCAAGUCGACAAACAGACCGACACGUCAUUUUGAAAAAAAGGACCCCUUCGACAUUUCGAGUUGCAUUAAAACCAAGUCACUCACGUAGAGGCACAUGCCUAGGCGCCCCACCAAGUUGAUCGAUAGUUGAAAAUGAGUUAUGGUCCACCUUUCUGUUUGGCCCUCAUUUGGUUAUUUGUCAAUGGAUUUAUCGCCAAGUCAUCGCGCCAUCAACCAGUUUCUUUAAAAUAUUCUUUCCAUUUGAUUUGAUUUUUUGAAACAUUCUUUUUGGGACACCCCGCUAAAGUCGAUAACGACAUGACACACAGUCCCAUUGUUUCUGAGAGGCCGAAGCGUUUCAGACCGGAACAUCAUUCGUAUAUGUUUUGGAUUUUCCCCAUCUGUUUCACUAGAAAACAAACUGAAUUUUCAUUUUUCGAUUCGAAUAGUAAGUGACUUGUGACUUUCUGUCCUACCAUUUUUCACGCUACCCAAUCAAAAAGGAAAGAAAAUUGUACAUCAUCUUCAUUGGCAAGGCAACGCGUUAAGGAAUUCCUGUCGUAGUGGCAAUGAAAGACGAACACUUGGUACAACAAUGAAAUCGAUUUUAUAUCCCAUGGCAUCGGCCGAUAUCUAAGCGGGACAAACAACGAUCCCACAUUCGU